UUUUUUUGUCAAAUCCUCCAACAUCUUUUUCAGUACUGCACCCCCAACGUCUUUUUCACUCCACCCUCCAACCCUUUAAAUCUUUCAUCAAAUCUGCAAUAGCCUUUAAACCUUCAAUUGCCAUAGCUAAGAGAAAUCACAAUUGUUUGUAAUUUAUAUAUGAAGGCAAACUUCCGAACAUCUUCCAAUAUUGUGGAUGUUUAUGUUUCCGCUGUUAUCAGUAGCCAUAGUUCUGCACAAACUACAGUAGAGGUGUCCAUGUUGUGUGUCUCCCUUCCAGGAUUUAUCACGACGGAUUGUAUCGGUGGAGUUAAUGAGUUUUGAAGCAAUGAUAGUAAAGAUACAAUCUGGAUUAUCUUUAAGCGGAUCACAAGCUGUAGGAAAUAGAGUAUGCUUAAUCGGUGUCGAUGUUGUUUGUUGAAUGGUAUAGGAUAUGUGAUCUUCCUGCUGCUCUACCCACUUCAUCGUGUAGUUGCAUCAGCGAAGGCUGCUUAAUGGGGAUUAUACGACAUAUCGCUUUUUCCGUCGGUUGAUGUCUUCAGCUUUUUGUCUUGGGGGAGAUGGAGAUGAUUCGGAAGACAGACCUUGAUGUUCAUGUGUUGUACUGGGAGACAUAUUCAUACCGUUGAAAUCUUGGGUACCGGGGGACAAAGUCGGGUAGUGAAUGUGUUGGUUGUGUGAAGGUGUUGAAUUGCGUGUGUUGAAUGUAGAAGUGAGUUGAGAGAAUGUAAUGUUUAAAUGUUUGUGGUUAGGAUUGAGGAUUUCAGUUAUCAAAGUUUGGUUGAGGAAUUGGAGUGUAUUGUAUGGAUGUGGUUGAUAUUGUUUGUUGGUUGUAAAAGUAAUUUGGUUAAGGGAAUAAAGUGUGGAGAUUUUGGUGUUGGGAUGAGGUGGCAUAAAAGGUGUGUUGUUGUGUGGUCUGGGUGUUGUCAUAAAAGGUGUGAUGGUAUGUUUGUUGGACGGAUGAAGAUGGUUGGACCCCAAAUUGGGAUGUGUACGUGGGGGGGAAUGUCAUGAUGUAUGAGGGAGAUAGUUUGUUGGGUUGAAGAAGAGACACGUUGACGGGGAUCGUUCAAAAAUUGUGUCGGAGCAACAUGCAUAAAAAGAAUUGCCAAAAACCAAUUCAUAUAUUCUCUAUCCGACUUAGACUCACAAAGUAUUGAUUUCCCUUGUAAUACCAAAUGCCUUCUCUUUUUCCAUUCUUUGACCUCUUCUUUGUUCAAAUGUUGCCCAUGUGUAUCCCAAGCUUGGACCAUAGUCAUAUCACGGUGUUCCCUUAGACAUCAUCGCUGAGACGAGAGAUGUUGUUCAAAUCCAAAUUGGAGUUUGACUCUAUCUGUCUGAUGCAUCUCAACGUUAAAGAAACAUAUUAUAUAUGAUGUCGCACUCCAGACUCGACUAUCACUAUAAUCAGGCACCGAGUAUUGUACGUAUGGCCUCCAUAUAAACAUUCAUAAGUAAUAUAAUUGUUAUAAUAUAAAUAAGAAGUUUAGAUAAGUUAAAAAUUGUAAUGUACGAUACUUACAUCAUUUUCUUCCAUGUGUUCAAUUGCAACUCGGUAUCCACGUAGAUGAUGACAAGGGUUAUUUCCGUAAUGCAUACCUCGUUCGCAGCAUCUUGCGUUUACAAAAAAAUAUAUUAAUGUUGUGUAUAAUUUAUUGUGGGAACAAUAAAGCGCAUUCAAUGAAUUAAGUACCUUAAUGCAUACAGAUGUGAUAACACCUCAGUACUAAUUGCUACACCUCAGUACAACACAAUCUCCUAUGCUCUUCACUCCUUUCUAGGCUGCCUUGCACAUAUGUCUAUAUAAUGUUGUCAGACAAGCAAAACCCCAACUGUAUGUGUUACAUUUUUCCAGGUCUCCUACUAAAGGUAACCAAGAUGAAUGCAAUAAAUUGUGACUCUUAUAUGGCACUAAGAAUGUAGCUAAAAUAUAGACUUUUGCAUGAAGAAUGUUUUCUGCUCCAUUGGGAAAGAAUUAUUUUUUAACUGUGUUAAUAAAGCUUCUAACCAAACAAUUUCCACAUAAGCCCCAUUUUUAUAUGAAAUCUUCGGUUCUACACCUAAAUUCUCCAUGUAAACAUCCUUAGUUACAUUAGUUGGACCAUUAACAUGUUUACCGUUAAUUCAUAGACCGAGUAACAUACUCACAUCCUCUAGUGUAGUAGUAUAUUCACCAGUUAGUAAAUGAAAAGUAUGUGUCUCAGAUCUCCAUCUCUUUAACAACGCAACAACUAGUUUGUAUUGUAGUCUAUUUUUAAACUUGACAUUUUUGCUACUUUAGCAAAAUCGGCUUGUUCUAAAUAUUGUAAUAUAACAACACUUGGUUGAAUAUGAGUAUGUGAAUGGACUCGAAACCUAGUCUCUUCCUGAAUGAAUAUCUUGGUGAUGAGAUGCUGAAUUUAUAAAAAAACUUAAUGAAUAUGUAGAGUAUAAAAUA